UGCCAGAUAGUUCAGUUGGUAGAGCACCUGACUAGAGAUUCUGGGGGCCCAGGUGCGAAACCUGGUCUGGUCC
rnacentral:tRNA from 1 species